ACGCCCGCAGAUGAGGUCGGGGCCCUGGUGUUCGACAUCGGCUCCUUCUCGGUCCGCGCCGGCUACGCGGGCGAGGACUGUCCCAAGGCCGACUUCCCCACCACGGUGGGGCUGUUGUCCCCGGACGAGGUGGCCAUGGAGCUGGACGGGGACAAGGACAAGAAGGGCGGCCGGGUCUACUACAUCGACACCAACGCGCUGCACGUGGCCCGCGACGCCAUGGAGGUCGUGUCGCCGCUCAAGAACGGCAUGAUCGAGGACUGGGAGUGUUUCCAGGCCAUCCUGGACCACACGUACGGGAAACACGUCAAGUCGGAGCCGGGGCUACACCCGGUGCUCAUGUCGGAG